AUGGGGUUCCCUGCUCAGCUCCUGGGCCUCCUCGUGCUCUGGGUCCCAGGAUCCAGUGGGGAUAUUGUGCUGACCCAGACUCCACUCUCCCUGUCUGUCACCCCUGGAGACCCGGCCUCCAUCUCCUGCAGAUCCAGUCAGAGCCUCCUAGAUAGUUAUGGAAACACUUAUUUGAGUUGGUACCUGCAGAAACCAGGUCGGUCUCCACAGCUCCUGAUCUAUGGAGCUUCCAACCGGGCCUCUGGGGUCCCAGACAGGUUCACUGGCAGUGGGUCAGGGACAGAUUUCACACUAAAAAUCAGCAGGGUGGAGGCUGAGGAUGUUGGAGUUUAUUACUGCCAGCAAUAUGGUAGUUCUAUUGGCUUUCAGUUUUAA